rnacentral:lncRNA from 1 species
CUUGGAUCUUGCAGAGUUGUACAUUGCUUUUAAUAUCUCUUAUUUACAGGGGAAGAAAACUUCUGGGUUUGCAAAUGAAGAUGAAUGGUGAAGACGCAAAAGAAAUUAAUCUUAUUGGAAAGCCAUUUCUUCCUCUGAAAGCACUAGGUAUUUUUGGCUCAGUUCCUCGUGUUAUUGACUUAAAGAGAUAACAUUUGCCCUAGAUGAUGGUGUUGUUUCCAUGGUAACAUUUUUUCAACGAGACUAAAAAUAAUGAAGCCUGUGUCUGAUUUACUAGGACAAGUCAAGCCUUUCUCCACGAGUGUCUGAAAGAAGUAUCUGUCGGUUGUCACAGAUUUAUUGCAAAUUAAAGGGCACAUGGUUUAGGCGCUGAAGUGAAAUGUUUUUAUUUCCGCCUGACUCUUCCACUUUGGAGUGUCAUAGAUUUGCAGGGCAUGGCAGACACAUGCCUAAUAGAGAAGAACAGAGAGGAGUUUAAUGAGUCACAAAGAAGCAUUCUUCAUUUCAAGUGCAUCCUGUAUUCUCAUUGGAAUGCGUCUGCAAAGCUGCUGGGUCCCCAAACCCCUCAUUUGUAACUCCCCAAGUAGUCACACAGACAAGGCCAAAGUUGUUGUUAGCAAGCUUUGAAGCAACAGCACUCCAUAUGUUAGCUAUUGAGUUUGUUCCCGAAAAGUCCUAGGAUCGAGGCCCCAGAGUAUGCAUACGUGUCUGUUUGUGCCCAUUGCUGAGCACAGGUGAUGGAGUAGGGUGGUGGGAAGAGGGAGAAGAGGAAAGAAGAGCUGGUCCACUCUCCAGAGUAUUCGUUACAUCAUUUAAUAAAUACAUAUU